CAACCCUUAUCCCUAGUUGCCAUCAGGUCAAGCUGGGCACUCUAGUGAAACUGCCUCGGAUAACGAGGAGGAAGGUGGGGAUGACGUCAAGUCCUCAUGGCCUUUAUGUCCAGGGCUACACACGUGCUACAAUGGUCGGUACAAACCGUCGCAAACCCGUGAGGGGGAGCUAAUCGGAAAAAGCCGGCCUCAGUUCGGAUUGGAGCUCGCGUUUAGACUCCAUGAAGCUGGAAUCGCUAGUAAUCGCGGAUCAGAACGCCGCGGUGAAUACGUUCCCGG
rnacentral:rRNA from 1 species